GAGAUUGCUAAUGUGGGAAUGUUCGCCUAACUGAUAGCACUGUUCCUUACUGUGAUACACAUUGAAAUAUUAUUAUAAUGAGGCCUAAUUGACACGGGUAACCGUGAUGCCAAGGUGUCUAAUUGACACAGUAAAGGGACCAUACUCGGGGUUCACUCUGAGUAACGUCGGGUUGCGGGUAGACAACCGACGCAUGAGCUCAUGGCCUGCGCUAGGAACAGGCAUGCAUCAUCUUGUUUGCGCAUAUGAACUUCUUGUGAAUUAUUUACUGCCAUUUCUUUCUUGUUCAUGUUACUUACUUGUUAUAGAUAUGUUUGUGCCUUGAGUCUCUGUGUUUGUUCUUUUUCUGUUUCGCGACAACUUAGAGAUAAAGACCCUAGGUUCCCCUUUUUCCUUACUGAGAACUCUAGGUUCUCACCCUUCUUUCUUUCUUUUCCCCCUCCCCAGACGGGUCCGGCAGAGGAGCCCUGUGAGUUUCGUUCUAACCGCUGAGCUAUGAGGAUCCGGCGCGCGGCGGAGUCUUCAUAUGGAGCACGUUUUAGACCUCUUUCUUGCACAAUGUUCGGAGAUCACUCCAGAGUUAGUCGCAGUGGAUCUUUCGCUCCUGUUUGAUGAUCUUAGUAUCACUUUACCCUCACUUUUGUAGUACUUUUAGAGGGGUAGGACGUCUUAGUAGUUCGGUUCCAGCUUAGGAAACCCGUGUGAGGGUUGGGACUGAUUUCUUCUUUUGUAUCUGUACAUAUAACUUGGUGUGAUACUCGGCUUUGAUGGAUGACACGUAUCCUUGAACUUAACUCAUGUGUAUAUUAUAUAUAUGUUUAUAUAUGUUAUUUUCUGUUGCCUUGUGUUUUCUUACACGACAACUCUGAAGAAACUA
rnacentral:lncRNA from 1 species